GACGAACGCUGGCGGCGUGCUUAACACAUGCAAGUCGAACGGAAAGGCCCUGCUUUUGUGGGGUGCUCGAGUGGCGAACGGGUGAGUAACACGUGAGUAACCUGCCCUUGACUUUGGGAUAACUUCAGGAAACUGGGGCUAAUACCGGAUAGGAGCUCCUGCUGCAUGGUGGGGGUUGGAAAGUUUCGGCGGUUGGGGAUGGACUCGCGGCUUAUCAGCUUGUUGGUGGGGUAGUGGCUUACCAAGGCUUUGACGGGUAGCCGGCCUGAGAGGGUGACCGGCCACAUUGGGACUGAGAUACGGCCCAGACUGCUACGGGAGGCAGCAGUGGGGAGUAUUGCACAGUGGGCGGAAGCCUGAUGCGGCAGCGCCGCGUGCGGGAUGACGGCCUUCGGGUUGUAAACCGCUUUCGCCUGUGACGAAGCGUGAGUGACGGUAAUGGGUAAAGAAGCACCGGCUAACUACGUG
rnacentral:rRNA from 1 species